rnacentral:rRNA from 1 species
GAGCGGAUGAAGGGAGUUGCUCCUGGAUUCAGCGGCGGACGGGUGAGUAAUGCCUAGGAAUCUGCCUGGUAGUGGGGGAUAACGUCCGGAAACGGGCGCUAAUACCGCAUACGUCCUGAGGGAGAAAGUGGGGGAUCUUCGGACCACACGCUAUCAGAUGAGCCUUGGUCGGAUUAGCUAGUUGGUGGGGUAAAGGCUUACCAAGGC